GGGGUUGUGGCUCAGAGGUAGAGCGCUUGCCUAGCAUGCAUGAGGCACUGGGUUCAAUUCUCAGCACCA
rnacentral:tRNA from 1 species